CACAAAACUCGGCUCCUUCAAGUAAACACACGCGCUCACGCACACAUAUGCAUCAAACUACGCUCAUUUUCGUUAGUAUCUCACGGGGCCUCGUACAGUAACUUUGCCUAUAAAAUGCCGUUCUUUUGUAAUUAAAUGGUGCAAAAACAAUACCAAAGUGAACAAAAGGUCUGAAGAAAUAUCGUUUCACACGACCUACCGGAUGAGUCUAAAAUCAGUCGUUAACCAAGAUUCAAUCUUUGAUACACCUAGAAAACAUAAACUAAGAGAAAAGUUAAAAAGCAGGAACUUUAUUUAAAAAAAAAAUGUAAAAAAAUUAAAUCAUUACAGCAAACAGUUAGACAUCUUUAAAACAGGAACUUGCCCUUCAGAGGAAUCAUCAAUUACUUAAAAACGCAAUUUUCAUUGACACAGAUUUAUAUAAUUCAUUAAAUUAAAACAUGGCUGCAAUAGAUUUAUUUAACAAUUUGAAGCGAAAAAAGGAGUAAAUAUAUUUAAAACUAUAAACAGAUUUUUAUUUUCGAAUACCCAUUUUACCUAUAUUAAAUUAAUUGUGUUUAAUCCCACUUAAUAAAAUUUUCAGGGACUUUUUUUAAAAAGUGUCAACACUUCACUCACUCACACAUAUUUAAAAA
rnacentral:misc_RNA from 1 species